rnacentral:rRNA from 1 species
CCUACGGGUGGCAGCAGUGAGGAAUAUUGGUCAAUGGGCGCGAGCCUGAACCAGCCAAGUAGCGUGAAGGAUGACUGCCCUACGGGGUGUAAACUUCUGUUAUAAAGGAAUAAAGUGAGGCACGUGUGCCUUUUUGUAUGUACAUUAUGAAUAAGGAUCGGCUAACACCGUGCCAGCAGCCGCGGUAAUACGGAGGAGCCGAGCGUUAUCAGGAUUUAGUGGGUUUCAAGGGAGCGUAGAUGGGUUGUUAAGUCAGUUGUGAAGGUUUGCGGCUCAACCGUAAAAUUGCAAUUGAUACUGGCAGUCUUGAGUACCGUUGAGGUCGGCGGAAUUCGUGGUGUAGCGGUGAACUGCUUCUCUCUCACGAAGAACUCCGAUUGCGAUGGCAGCUUACUAAACUGCCACUGACAUUGCUGCUCG